rnacentral:tRNA from 1 species
GGGGGAUUAGCUCAAAUGGGAGAGCGCUCGCUUAGCAUGCGAGAGGUAGCGGGAUCGAUACCCGCAUCCUCCA